rnacentral:rRNA from 1 species
GACGAACGCUGGCGGCGCGCCUAACACAUGCAAGUCGAACGAGAGAUGAGGAGCUUGCUCUUCAAAUCGAGUGGCGAACGGGUGAGUAACGCGUGAGGAACCUGCCUCAAAGAGGGGGACAACAGUUGGAAACGACUGCUAAUACCGCAUAAGCCCACGGCUCGGCAUCGAGCAGAGGGAAAAGGAGUGAUCCGCUUUGAGAUGGCCUCGCGUCCGAUUAGCUAGUUGGUGAGGUAACGGCCCACCAAGGCAACGAUCGGUAGCCGGACUGAGAGGUUGAACGGCCACAUUGGGACUGAGACACGGCCCAGACUCCUACGGGAGGCAGCAGUGGGGAAUAUUGCACAAUGGGGGAAACCCUGAUGCAGCGACGCCGCGUGGAGGAGAAGGUCUUCGGAUUGUAAACUCCUGUUGUUGAGGAAGAUAAUGACGGUACUCAACAAGGAAGUGACGGGCUAACGUACGUG